UACGUAGGGGUGAGCGUUGUCCGGAGUUACUGGGCGUAAAGGGCGCGCAGGCGGUUGGUUACGUCGUGUGUGAAAGCCCCCCGCUCAACGGGGGAAGGUCGCGCGAAACGGGCCGACUGGAGGCAAGGCGAGGGCGGUGGAAUUCCCGGUGUAGUGGAGAAAUGCGUAGAGAUCGGGAGGAACACCAGAGGCGAAGGCGGCCGCCUGGACUUGACCUGACGCUGAGGCGCGAAGGCGUGGGGAGCAAACAGG
rnacentral:misc_RNA from 1 species